UACCAGCACCCCGAGUGGUCGGGACGUUUAUUGGGCCUAAAGCAUCCGUAGCCGGUUCUACAAGUCUUCCGUUAAAUCCACCUGCUUAACAGGUGGGCUGCGGAAGAUACUAUAGAGCUAGGAGGCGGGAGAGGCAAGCGGUACUCGAUGGGUAGGGGUAAAAUCCGUUGAUCCAUUGAAGACCACCAGUGGCGAAGGCGGCUUGCUAGAACGCGCUCGACGGUGAGGGAUGAAAGCUGGGGGAGCAAACCGG
rnacentral:rRNA from 1 species